GUAAGGAAACGCAAGUUCUACUUACUAGGCUAGUAUAGCUCAUAUUCUUUUUAUUUUUUUUUCUUGUAUAGAAGAAUAAGGUUAGGACCGACGAACGGAAUUCAGACUUGGAAAUCUGUGAAGCAAGCUUGAAAAUUUUGUACUAGAAGUUUAAUUUAUUUUAUGAUCAUGGACUUAUAGUUAUUUAUUUAUAAAUCUUGAGACUUGAGUUGA
rnacentral:lncRNA from 1 species